rnacentral:rRNA from 2 species
AUACAUGAUUUCCCUAGUACGGCGAGUGAAGAGGAAAGAGCUCAAAGUUGGAACCUGUUUGGCCUAGCUAAACCGGAUUGUAGACUGUAGAAGUGUUUUCCAGGCAAGCCGAGUAAAUAAGUCCUUUGGAACAGGGCAUCAUAGAGGGUGAGAAUCCCGUCUUUGGCUUGAGCAUUUGCCUUUUGUGAUACGCUUUCAAAGAGUCAGGUUGUUUGGGAAUGCAGCCUAAAUUGGGUGGUAAAUCUCACCUAAAGCUAAAUAUUGGCGAGAAACCGAUAGCGAACAAGUACCGUGAGGGAAAGAUGAAAAGAACUUUGAAAAGAGAGUUAAACAGUAUGUGAAAUUGUUAAAAGGGAACCGUUUGGAGCCAGACUGGCUUGUCUGUAAUCAAUCUAGGCUUCGGCCUGGAUGCACUUGCAGGCUAUGCCUGCCAACGACAAUUUGACUUGAGGGAAAAAACUAGGGGAAAUGUGGCCCACUUGUGGGUGUUAUAGUCCCUUAGAAAAUACCUUGGGUUGGAUUGAGGAACGCAGCGAAUGCUUAUUGGCGAGUUUUCCAGGAAGGUUUUCUGAGGUACUACGGUAUCAAGGUUGAUCUUUUUGGUUAUACUUCUAUUCGCUUAGGUUGUUGGCUUAAUGACUCUAAAUGACCCGUCUUGAAACACGGACCAAGGAGUCCACCAUUAGUGCGAGUAUUUGGGUGCCAAACCCAUAUGCGUAAGGAAACUGAUUGAUACGAAUCCAUUAAGGAGGCAGUAUCGUCCGGCGCUGACGUUUUAUACUGAAUUGACCGAGACAAAGCACUAAUGAUGGGACCCGAAAGAUGGUGAACUAUGCCUGAAUAGGGUGAAGCCAGAGGAAACUCUGGUGGAGGCUCGUAGCGAUUCUGACGUGCAAAUCGAUCGUCAAAUUUGGGUAUAGGGGCGAAAGACUAAUCGAACCAUCU